AUCCGCUCCGGGCGCUGCCGCCGGAAGGGCCAGCGACGGAGGGUCUCAGAUGGCGGGGCUUGAGGCCCACCCGGGCUCUCGGGUCGGCGAGUCCCGUUGGGGAGCCCUUGUGCCUGCUAGGAUAUUUAGCAGAUGCCAGGCGGCCAGAAACGUCCUCACUUUUCUCCCUCGGCCCUCUGGGGAACCGCCGUGAGCGUUUCCCACGGACACAAACUUAACAGGCCCAGAACGUCCAGGGAGGACGCGUUGUGAGCCUCAAAGAGCCCACUUACGUGACCGACAGCACCAGGCCGACGGGCACUCGCUGAACUGCUGGCCCGGAGCAGCACAGCUCUUAAGUGGGCAGUGGCAUCUUUUAUACAAAUAAAGGAAGGUGGCCCCACGUCCCUAAAACAACAGCUUGCUGAAGAGAGAUCGCAAAGCAUCCCCCACUCCAGCUCGGGUCUGACUCCAAAGCCCUUCUGCUUUAGAAAGUGUGACUAUUUCUGCUGUAGAAAACCGGUAUCUAGGCCAGGCGCGGUGGCUCACGCCUGUAAUCCCAGCACUUGGGAGGCCGAGAUCUAUUGAAAACAGCUGGGCACCGUGGCUCACACCUGGAAUCCCAGCUGAGGCAGGAGGCUCCCUUGAGCCCAGGAGUUGAAGGUUGCAGUAAGCUAUGAUUGUGUCACUGCACUCCAGCCUGGGAAACAGUGCAAGACCUUGCAUAUUAGAAAAAAGUUUCUGGGAAGUAUACCAAAAGUCUUAACUAAGAUUUGCUAAAUGAAUAUUAAUUAAAUAACCUAACGGCAAGUACAUGGGGAAGUUGGAGGAUCUAGAACCUGACUUCCUUCACACUAACUAUUCCUGCAUUUAGCAGGUAAAAGCCCGAUAGCAUGAUUGAGUGGAAACAUGAAGGGACAAGGGUUUGGCUAGUUAUGUUUAUAAAAAGUCAACAUAGGAAUUGAGUCAAGAUACCAGAAACUCUACUUAUAGUAAGAUCCCACUUUGCAAAAACGGAGAAUGGAAGCGUACAGAACUGUACCUUCUCCUCAAUUUUGCUGUGACUGUAAACUUCCUCUAACACAUAAAAUGUAUUUUAAAGAAAAAAA
rnacentral:lncRNA from 10 species